AGUGUGCACUAUGGGGGCCGUUUCAAACUGGUGGAAUUGGAUGCUGUGAUCAGCCAUAUGCUGCAAAAACUAUUCUUUUGUCAGCAUGUCUGUGUGGAAUUGCUUCAGGAGCUGGAAACAUUCAAAGCAACAACGUUCAGUGCUGAAUGCUCAAGACUGUUGAUGUGAAAGGGACUUUUGGUCUAGUUCCAUACUUCGCAAGCACUUCAUAUAUAAGUUGCUCUGUCCAGCUCUUGUCCAAUAGUUCUGCUGUCGCUUUGGAGGGAUUUGGUCAGACCCCAGAGAAGUCAAGAGAGAACAAAGCUGACAUAAAAACCCCGCUGACUGUGCAGGUCAAGUGGAAGAUAAAGUUACUUUUAUCAGUUCAGAGUAUGCAUAGCAUCAAUAUUGCAUUUGUAUAAGCACUUAGCUGCUGCGUGCUAUAAGUUACCACCCUAACUCUGCCUGAAGACUUUCAUUAUUGCUCUUCACAAACUUUCUGUAUAUAGUCUCCUUCUGGAAACCCUAUUCAAUUGCCUUUUCAAUGAUCCAGAUAUAUUUCUCCAGAAAACGUGGCGUAUGCAGGAGAGGAGGAUAAUGUACAUGGCAACAUUAGCUCGGGACAACCAUCAACUGUUCAGAUUUUGCAAGUGACCUGACUCUGACCCCUUUGGGAGACUAAAGAGGCCUGAAUGUAUGUUUUACGUUUCCAUCUUCAUUCUCGGCUCACUUCUGCAGAAAGGCUCAAAGUUACGGGGAAGACGAUAAAGGCAAAAUUCCCGACUACAGCAAAGACAUAUUGGAAAUCUUGCUGGAGAGCCUAUGAUUUGGGCAAUUGUCUCAUGACUGCUUUUGCUAACGGAGCAUGUUACUUCCAGCAGCCCUAGCUUUGGAAAGGAGUUGUGAUUCAGGGCCUAGAAGCUGCUAGGCUCCUCUUGCGCUGUGGAAAUACACAGCACAGUUACAGCAAAUCUUCCUCCCUCUGCGGGGAAAUUCCAUCUGGGGAAGAGCAUGACCCAAAGCAUUUAAGUUUAAACUCUGACAUGGCUUAUCUUUCCUGUGAAAGAUAACCUUUGGCUGUGAAGACCCAGGAAAGUGCUCUCUGCAGGAGUCAUCCAGCAGAAAUCCUCAAGUUUAGCUUGCCUCCCUCUGAGUUUUGAAGACUGCAACUUUAAUUAGGAGGUGCCUUUGAUGGGAUCCACUAACACCUUUCCUCCCGGAGGACAGAAGUCAGACUUGUGGCUAGUGGGAGAUUGACUGUGAAAGCCGAGAGACUCCAACUAUAUCCUAGCUGAAGGUUUUACACUGGAAAACCAUAAAGAAGGGGACAGUGUCAUCAUGAAUUUAAAACUAUUUGCAACGCUGACAAUAUGACAAUGACAGAGGAGUGCCCUGCAGGGACAAGCUAGUCCAUCCACUGUUCCCAUUAUAGAAAUUGCC